rnacentral:lncRNA from 1 species
UUCCUCCUGACACUCACCACCUCUACAAGAUUAUUGUAGUUGGUUUUCAUCAGAUGGCACCAGACCCCAGUUCAUAGAUUUGAUCAGAAUGUUCUUGGUGCACUACAAACUCACAGACUGGAUCCAACCUACCAUGCUGCCCAGCAUCACCUACAUCAUUGUGAUGAUGCAGGAACCCACCAGUGGGACCUUCAGCCACGCAACCACCGAGACUCUCUCUGCAGAGGAGAAAUGAGGCCUGCAAAAGGAAUCCUCGAUUUGUUAGCCCUUGGCAUAAAGAAGUUAAGCUCCAGUGUUUUGCUCGGCACAGAACACCUCCCUUGAAAAAUCCUCAUAUUCUGUGACAUGUGGUGCAUAAGCGUGCUUGUGUCUGUGUGUGCGGGAGAUAUAGAAGCAAAUGAAACUCCAAGCUUGAAAUUAUACCCUCGGAGUCACCUGUUUGGGAAAAGCUAUCACUGCUGAAGAUAUGAAAGGAUUUGUAAAGGUCUCUCACUGACCCUGGAACUUCCCAUGUGGUUAGAGUGUCUGGACAGCAAACUCCAGGGAUCCACCAUCUCCCCAGAGAUGGGGUUACAGACCAGUCUGUCUUCUACUUAAAUUCAGGGAUUUGAACUCAGCUUCUUAAGCUUGCAGGUGUGACUCUGGCUUUGGUCAUGGUGACUCCAUGCUCAUGUAUGACAUGCCAUUUGCCUUACCAAUGGCCCAUCCAGACUGUGAUGUCAAACAGGCCAGAAGAAUCAGAAACCGAGACCUGAACAUCACAGGCCAGCCUUCCCUGGAGUGUGAGAAGCCAGGUUAUUGCUGUUCACAGGAAAUUUGAGUGAAUCAUGACUAUUUCUGUCAGCCUGAGGUUGAAAGUGAAACCGUAUCCAGCCAUCAAGGUUUGCUCAACUGGAGGCUGCUGAUGGUAGAAAACCAAGUACAGACUUUACUCAUAGGUAGUCCUAGACCUGUAGGUGGUACCUGGCUCAUCACCUCAUCAAAGGCCUCCUACUUCUCUCUGUCUCACACACACACACAUACACACACACACACACACACACACAUACACACACACACACUCACACUCACGCAUGCGUGCACAUGUUCUCACGAGUGCGUGUUGUCUAUGAAGCCAAGUCAAGUACACAGUUUCAAAAAGAAUUGGCCUUGUGGCCACAUUUGUACAAGCUACAUGUCCUUGUACAUAUUAUUAGUGUCUCCGAUCUUCACUUUCCCCGACUUUGAAAUAUGGAUAUUAGCCAUCACAGUGACCCACAAGUUGAAAGACAGAAACCACAUGAUCAUCUCAUUAGAUGCAGAGCAGACAUUCAACCAAAUCCAAAACCCCUUCAUGAUUAAAGUCUUGGAGAGAUCAGGAAUGCAAGAGACACCAAAACAAAAUAAACUGUUGGCAGUGAGCUCACAGCCAACAUCUGCUUAAAUGGAGAGGAACUCAAAGCAAUUCCAUUAACAUCAGGAACAAAAGAAGGUUGUCCAUUCUCCCCACACCUAUUCAAUAUAGUGCUCUAAGUCUCAGCUAGACACUAAGACAACUGAAGGAGAUUAAGAUGAUACAAGUUGGAAAGGAAGACAUCCGAAGAAUCUUUAUUUGCCCAUGAAUCAUUAAUAUACAUAAGUGUCCCUAACAAUUCCACCUGGAAACUCCCACAUCUGAUAAACAGCAAAGGAGCUGGAUUCAGAAUUGAGUCCCCCAAAUCAGUGGCCCCCCUAAAUACAAAUGACAAACGGACUGAGAAAAAACCUCAGGGAAACAACACCUCUCACAAUAGCAUCAAAUAAUACAAAAUAUCUUGAGGUGACUCUAGCCAAGCAAGCGAUGGACCUGUACGAUAAAAACCUCAAGACAUUGAAGAAGAUGGAAGAAUCUCCCAUGCUCGGGGCUCAGUAGGUUUAAUAUAGUAAAAAUGGCCAUCCCGACAAAAGCAGAUUCAGUUCAAUCCCCAUCAAAAUUCCAACACAAUUUUUCAUGGAUCAUGAAAGAACAACUUUCAGCUUCAUCUGAAAACAAAACAAAUACAACAGCUCAAAGAAUCCUGAAUAAUGAAAGAACUGUAGGAGGCAUCAUCAUCUCCGAUUUCAAGUUGUACUACAGAUCUGAAGUAAUAAGUCGAGCAUAGUAAUGGCAAAAAAACAGACAUUGAUUAGGGGAGUUGAAGACUAAGACAUUAAUCCACACCUACUGACAUCUGGUUUUUGUUGUUGCUGUGUUUGUUUGCUUGUUUGUUUGUUCUAAAGAAGCCAGAAAUACACCCUGGGAAAAGGGCAGCUUCUUCAACAAAUGGUGCUGGUCAAAUUGGUGGCUGCCUGUAGAACAAAUAAACCCACACUUAUCAUCCUGAACAAAACUCAGUUCCAAAUGGAUCAAAGACUUCCACAUAAAAGCAGAUACACUGAGCCUGGUAGAAAAAGAAGUGGGGAAUAGCUUUGAACACAGAAAAAGACUUUCUGAACAGAACAUCAAUAACCUAGCCACUAAGAUCAACAGUAAGUGGGACCUCUAGAAACUGAGAAACUUCUGCAUGGCAAAGGACAGCACCACUCAGGCAAAGCUGCAGCCUGCAGAAUGGGAAAACAUUUUGACCAACUCGACACUCAGUAGAGGCCUACUAUCCAUGCACAGGUCCUGCUUGGGUCUGCACCAAGUUCUCUGCAUAUAUAUUAUAGCUUCCAGCUUAGUGUUUUUAUGGGAUGUUUGAGUAUGCAAACAAGUAGGUCUCUCAUUCUUCUGUCUUCUCAUGGAGUAUUUCCUUCUGUUGUCAGUUGUUUUGUUUUGUCCAAUUCCCAUGUACUAGUUUUUGUUUACUCAUAUCAUAUUAUAUUAUUAUAUUAUAAUCCCUUAGAAACCUGCUAACUUCUAAUGAGAUACAGAAAAGGAAUGGAUCCAGAUGGGAGUGGAAGAGGGGAGGAACUGGGAGGAGUAGAGAGAAAAGAAACUGUAAUCAUGAUAUGUUAUAUGAGAAAAAAAAUCUAUCUUCAAUAAAAAAGAUGGGGGAGCCAUA